rnacentral:rRNA from 1 species
UACGUAGGGGGCUAGCGUUGUCCGGAAUCAUUGGGCGUAAAGCGCGCGUAGGCGGCCCAGUAAGUCCGUUGUAAAAGUCAAAGGCUCAACCUUUGAAAGCCGAUGGAUACUGCUGGGCUAGAGUCCGGAAGAGGCGAGUGGAAUUCCUGGUGUAGUGGUGGAAUGCGCAGAUAUCAGGAGGAACACCGAUAGCGAAGGCAGCUCGCUGGGACGGUACUGACGCUGAGGCGCGAAAGCGUGGGGAGCGAACAGG